UGGAAGGGCAGUGAGCUGACGCUCGGAAGGUGUCUUGAGAUUAUCAUCCGCUGAGGGUGGAAGGGGAGUGAGCAGACACUCAGGAGGUGUCUUGAGAUUAUCAUCCGCUGAGGGUGGAAGGGGAGUGAGCACACACUCGGGAGGUGUCUUGAGAUUAUCAUCCGCUGAGGGUGGAAGGGGAGUGAGCAGACACUCGGGAGGUGUCUUGAGGCUCAGGGAGUUAUCAGUUAUAGAAUGUUGUUGAGUUGGAGGAGGUGGCUGGUGGCCCAUCCUGUUUUUUAAAGUUUCAGCUG
rnacentral:lncRNA from 1 species